GACGAACGCUGGCGGCGUGCUUAACACAUGCAAGUCGAGCGGUAAGGCCCUUUCGGGGGUACACGAGCGGCGAACGGGUGAGUAACACGUGGGUGACCUGCCUUUAGCUCUGGGAUAAGCCUGGGAAACUGGGUCUAAUACCGGAUAUGACCCUAUGGCGCAUGUUGUGGGGUGGAAAGCCUUGUGCGGCUAGGGAUGGGCCCGCGGCCUAUCAGCUUGUUGGUGGGGUGAUGGCCUACCAAGGCGACGACGGGUAGCCGGCCUGAGAGGGCGGCCGGCCACACUGGGACUGAGACACGGCCCAGACUCCUACGGGAGGCAGCAGUGGGGAAUCUUGCGCAAUGGGCGAAAGCCUGACGCAGCGACGCCGCGUGAGGGAUGACGGCCUCGG
rnacentral:rRNA from 1 species